UACGUAGGGUGCAAGCGUUAAUCGGAAUUACUGGGGCGUAAAGCGUGCGCAGGCGGUUUUGUAAGUCUGUCGGUGAAAAUCCCCGGGCUCAACCUGGGAAUGGCGAUGGAGACUGCAAGGCUAGAGUUUGGCAGAGGGGGGUAGAAUUCCACGUGUAGCAGUGAAAUGCGUAGAUAUGUGGAGGAACACCGAUGGCGAAGGCAGCCCCCUGGGUCAAAACUGACGCUCAUGCACGAAAGCGUGGGGAGCAAACAGG
rnacentral:rRNA from 1 species